ACUCCUACGGGAGGAGCAGUGGGGAAUUUUGGACAAUGGGGGAAACCCUGAUCCAGCCAUGCCGCGUGCGGGAAGAAGGCCUUCGGGUUGUAAACCGCUUUUGGCAGGAACGAAACGGCGCGCGCUAAUACCGCGCGCUAAUGACGGUACCUGCAGAAUAAGCACCGGCUAACUACGUGCCAGCAGCCGCGGUAAU
rnacentral:rRNA from 1 species